CAAUAGCGUAUAUUAAAGUUGUUGCGGUUAAAAAGCUCGUAGUUGGAUUUCUGCCGAGGACGACCGGUCCGCCCUCUGGGUGUGUAUCUGGUUUGGCCUGGGCAUCUUCUUGGAGAACGUAGCUGCACUUGACUGUGUGGUGCGGUGUCCAGGACUUUUACUUUGAGGAAAUUAGAGUGUUUCAAGCAGGCACACGCCUUGAAUACAUUAGCAUGGAAUAAUAAGAUAGGACCUCGGUUCUAUUUUGUUGGUUUCUAGAGCUGAGGUAAUGAUUAAUAGGGAUAGUUGGGGGUGCUCGUAUUCAACGGCCAGAGGUGAAAUUCUUGGAUUCGUUGAAGACGAACUUAUGCGAAAGCAUUCACCAAGGAUGUCUUCGUUAA
rnacentral:rRNA from 1 species